GAUGAACGCUAGCGGGAGGCCUAACACAUGCAAGCCGAGCGGGAUUUGUUGGUUAGCUUGCUAACUAACAAUGAGAGCGGCGUACGGGUGCGUAGCACGUGUGCAACCUGCCUUUAUCUGGGGAUAGCCUUUCGAAAGGAAGAUUAAUACCCCAUAACAUAUUGAUUGGCAUCAGUUAAUAUUGAAAGCUCCGGCGGAUAGAGAUGGGCACGCGUAAGAUUAGCUAGUUGGUGAGGUAACGGCUCACCAAGGCUGCGAUCUUUAGGGGGCCUGAGAGGGUGAUCCCCCACACUGGUACUGAGACACGGACCAGACUCCUACGGGAGGCAGCAGUGAGGAAUAUUGGACAAUGGGUGAGAGCCUGAUCCAGCCAUCCCGCGUGAAGGACUAAGGACCUAUGGUUUGUAAACUUCUUUUAUACAGGGAUAAACCUACUCUCGUGAGGGUAGCUGAAGGUACUGUAUGAAUAAGCACCGGCUAACUCC
rnacentral:rRNA from 1 species